CCUACGGGAGGCAGCAGUGAGGAAUAUUGGUCAAUGGACGAGAGUCUGAACCAGCCAAGUAGCGUGAAGGAAGAAUGAUCUAUGGGUUGUAAACUUCUUUUAUAGGGGAAUAAAGCGAGGCACGUGUGCCUUUUUGCAUGUACUUUAUGAAUAAGGAUCGGCUAACUCCGUGCCAGCAGCCGCGGUAAUACGGAGGAUCCGAGCGUUAUCCGGAUUUAUUGGGUUUAAAGGGAGCGUAGAUGGUUUGUUAAGUCAGUGGUGAAAGUUUGCGGCUCAACCAUAAAAUUGCAGUUGAUACUGGAAGUCUUGAGUACAGUUGAGGUAGGCGGAAUGCGUGGUGUAGCGGUGAAAUGCUUAGAUAUCACGAAGAACUCCGAUUGCGAAGGCAGCUUACUAAACUGCAACUGACACUGAUGCUCGAAAGUGUGGGUAUCAAACAGGAUUAGAUACCCCUGUAGUC
rnacentral:rRNA from 1 species